rnacentral:rRNA from 1 species
AUCGAACGCUGGCGGCAUGCCUAACACAUGCAAGUCGAACGAUCCCUUCGGGGCUAGUGGCGCACGGGUGCGUAACGCGUGGGAACCUGCCCUUAGGUUCGGAAUAACUCAGAGAAAUUUGAGCUAAUACCGGAUAAUGUCUUCGGACCAAAGAUUUAUCGCCUUUGGAUGGGCCCGCGUUGGAUUAGCUAGUUGGUGGGGUAAAGGCCUACCAAGGCGACGAUCCAUAGCUGGUCUGAGAGGAUGAUCAGCCACACUGGGACUGAGACACGGCCCAGACUCCUACGGGAGGCAGCAGUGGGGAAUAUUGGACAAUGGGCGAAAGCCUGAUCCAGCAAUGCCGCGUGAGUGAUGAAGGCCUUAGGGUUGUAAAGCUCUUUUACCCGGGAUGAUAAUGACAGUACCGGGAGAAUGAGCCCCGGCUAACUCCGUG